UACAGAGGUCCCGAGCGUUGUUCGGAUUCACUGGGCGUAAAGGGUGCGUAGGUGGCGGGGGAAGUUUGAUGUGAAAUCUCCAAGCUUAACUUGGAAACUGCAUUGAAUACUAUCCCGCUGGAGGAUUGGAGGGGGGACUGGAAUUCUCGGUGUAGCGGUGAAAUGCGUAGAUAUCGAGAGGAACACCUGCGGCGAAGGCGGGUUGCUGGGCUGAUACUGACGCUGAUGCGCGAAAGCCAGGGGAGCGAACGGG
rnacentral:rRNA from 1 species